rnacentral:rRNA from 1 species
AAGACCUCAAAUCAGGUGGGACUACCCACUGAACUUAAGCAUAUCAAUAAGUGGAGGAAAAGAAACUAACAAGGAUUCCCUUAGUAACGGCGAGUGAAGAGGGAAAAGCCCAAAUUUGUAAUCUGAUCCUUUCAGGGUCAGAGUUGUAAUUUUAAGAACUGUUUUCAGUGCUGGACCAUAUAUAAGUCUGUUGAAAAGCAGCAUCAUUGAGGGUGAUAAUCCUGUUCAUGAUAUGGACUACCAGUGCUUUAUGAUACAGUCUCUAAGAGUCGAGUUGUUUGGGAAUGCAGCUCAAAGUGGGUGGUAAAUUCCAUCUAAGGCUAAAUAUGUAUGAGAGACCGAUAGCAAACAAGUACCGUGAGGGAAAGAUGAAAAGAACUUUGGAAAGAGAGUUAACAGUGUGUGAAAUUGUUAAAAGGGAAACACUUGAAGUUAGACUUGUUAUUGUUAGUUCAACCUUUUCUUUUUGAAGGGUGUAUUCUAAUGAUUAACAGACCAACAUCAAUUUUUUAGAGUGUUGGAGAAGGGUCUAUGGAGAUGUGGCAGUUGAAAGACUGUGUUAUAAUCCUGGACUUUGAUACAAUGCUUAAGAUUGAGGAUCGCAGUAAAGCCCUUUAAUGGGUUGGAGUAAAUUAUUAU